AAGCAUCCAUGGCUGCGCCCUCCUGCGGCCAACUCGGCUCGCACGACGACGCAAUUGCUGACAACUUGACGUUCUUUGAAUACUGCAGGACGAGGACCCAAAUACGCGCAGUGGGUCUCCGGACCCUUCCUAGGGUCUGGAACGACUUCACAUGUCGAAUCCUUCCCUGCGCAACGCGGUGCAGGGAGGUGCGCGCAGCAACCUCGAGUAGGCGCUCCGCGAGUCUCUACGGGGUUCCGAGCGAAUCCAGCUACGCGGCUGCAGUGCCACCUAGCGGCCAUUCCUGGAACUACGAGCGGUGCCUCCCGAGGUUCCCUGGUUGAUUCGGGCGCAUUUCCCCUGCCCCUCCCCCGUUUCAAAGUUUCGCUCUGGGGCGAGGGGAGCUCCUACCUCGCUGCAGUGCCCGGAAGGGCGGGGUGAGGCGCGGCGCAGCCGCGGCGCUGGGCUGUGACCCCGGCGGUUUCACUUCUGGAUCCCGCUUCGCUGGGGUUGGGAGAGGAGGACUUGGGUGGGGAGGGUAAGGGCGGUACCUGUGGGCAGGCGGGGUCUAGGACUAGGGACCCCUGGGGUGUCACGCGACCCACGCCUUCCUGCGCUUACUUUCCGCCCCUAGGCUCCAUUCCGUUGUCCCCAGGUCUGUUGCGUGUCCGCAGCGGCCGC
rnacentral:lncRNA from 1 species